AAAAGUACCACAACUUGGGUAUAAAAAUGCAGGUUAGCCUCGAAAAUAAAUUUACUCCUCCUGCAACUUGAAAAAAAAUAUUUGAACAUGAAUAAGCAUUCGACUUCGAGAGUUUAGACAUUGAUUAUACUUGCAAUUUCUAUAACCAUCUAAAAAUGGUGCAACUCUACUAUGUAAUGCACAUCCAACACAUUUACAACAAUUCACCUAAUAUUUGCACAAGAAG
rnacentral:misc_RNA from 1 species